GAUAUUGUAUAGUUCUACCAAAUAUGCACAUGUAUACAAUAUAUAUAAAAAAUAUAUAGAAAGUGUAUAAAAAUUAUAUAAUUGUUGUAUAAAAUGUAUAAAAAAAAAUGUAUAGUUAUUGUUUAAAUUGUGUAUCGGAACUAUAUAAUUUUCGUAUAAAAUAUUUAUAUGUAUAAGAUAUGUAUAGAAACUGUAUAGAAGGUGUAUAGAAACUGCAUAGAACAAGCCAACAAAUUGAAAUGGCUAGAAAGUAAAAUUUAAAUUUCAUGACCAUUUUCGUGAAAUUUGUUUGAUCUGAGGUGUCAUUUCUAUUAUUUCCCCUUGUUCAUAUUCUUCACAAAAACUACAAAAACUACAAAACAAUUUUGUAAUGUUCUCCAAAUGUUCACCUAAGGCACAUCAAACCCUCCAGGAUAUCAAUUAAAUUAAGCACACCUAGUAAUUGAUGUUGUGCCUUGGAAAAUUGGUAAGUGAAGUUCCAGAGAGAUGCACUUCCAUUUUGGGGCAACCCGAACUCGGAUCAGAAGCAAAAAACUGAAUGAAACUUGAGAUAAUAAGUAAUACACAACAUAGUUUAAGAGUAAAUUUCAUGGAUGAUCAUUCAAUUUUGUGUUUAUUACUCAAAAGUUAUUAUUUUUUGUUUUGUUACACAAAAGUCAUUUAAUUUUAUCUUAUCUUUCACAAAAGUCACUUUAACAAAAUUAAAUUAAAAUGUGUGAUAAAUAAAUAAAAAAAGAUCCCUUGUGUUUUAAGGUAAGUUCAAAAUGGCCUCUCAAAUAUUUUUGAGUAAUUUUGAUAUUUUAAGCUUGCUAAAUGUGAGUAUAUUUGAUCUUCAUAAAAUAUUUAACAAAUUCUGAUUGUUAAAUUUUACAAAACUUUGAAAAAAAAAAAAAUUAAUACUGAAUCACAUUUAGAGAAGUAUUCUUUCUAAUUUUCAUUUUUUUUUAAAAUUUAUUGGAGGAUUUAGUGUUUCUUUCUAGGUUAAUUUAUUUAUUUAUAGAAUAAUUUCAUAAAUCCCUUCACAAGUUUCGUUUCAUAACGUUGAUCUCUUAUGUUACAUAUGAUAUCAGGCGUUCUUUGAUUAUUUAAAUUUCUUUAUAACAACUCCUUCUAUGUAUUUGACACUAAUACAAAAAUGCAUACUUGGAAUUAAUUUUUUUAUGAAAUAAUUGAAAUAUUAAGGAGUAAAACACUGGUAUAAAUUUAGAAUUUUCAUCAUAACUCUAUUUUCAACUAAUUUCAACAAAUCUUUCGACUUCCUUCCUAGCCCCUUAAAAGAAUCUAUCAUUCAAAAAUUUUAAACUUUUAUAUUUCAUAAUAAGUAACAUUAUUUUAUUUUUUAAAUUUCUUUUAGUAACCCUACUUGUUACAAACAUUGCAGUUCACUCCGCAUAUUUAAUAUAUUGAUAAUAAUAUUCGUAGAAACUAUUAUAAAAUAAUUUAACAAUUAUAUUUAUUUACUUAAUAAUCUACUAAAAAUAUGUAAUAAAAGUAAAGAAAAGAUGUCUAUAAAUUAAUCAAAAUAAUAAUGUAAUAGUAAAAUAAAAAUAUAAUUAUUGUACAUUAUUUUAAGAUUUUUUGGUUUUACUUUUUUUUUUUUUAAUUUCGUUAAAUUUGGUCAGUAAACUUUGUCAAAUAUAUGUAAAUAAAAGACUCAUUUUUAGAAAUAUAGUGGAUCAAAAUUAAUCAAAAGUAUAUUUGAGAGGCCAUUUUGAACCUACCCUUAAAUAUAAGAGAUGUUUUUUAUUUCAUCUCACAUUUUAUGUAGUUUUUUAUUCAAAUUUUGUCAAAAUAACUUUGCGAAAGAUGAGACAAAGUUACAUGAUUUUUGUAAAACAAAAUAAAAAAUAGUAACUUUUGGAUAAUCAACACAAAGUUGGAUGACCACCCAUGAAAUUUACUCAAACUAGUUACUCAAUUAGGUGAGAGUCAAUUCUUAAAAAAAAAAUUGGAUAAAGGGGAAAAAAAAUUUCAGUUUUUUUUUUGGGGGGAUAAAAAGGACAAUUUUUAUUUAGUUUUUUUUUAAAAAAAAAUAUUUUCAUUUCAACAAUUAAAAAAGUUGUCUCAACAACUAUACAAAUUAUCUCAAUAACCAUCAAAGUUAUUGGAUAAUUUAGAUAGUUGUUGAGACAACUAAGACAGUUGUCGAACAACUGUCCUAAUUAUUUAAGUGACUUUAUUUUUUUAACUUAAUAAUAUUGUGAAUACACUUAUCUCUUUUUUUUUUUUAAUUAAAAACUUGUGUGAGUUUUCAACUCAUUUUUCUCUCUCGGUACCCUAUAGAUCGAGGGUUAAUCAAUCACAACUAAGACAGUGUGAUUUACCUCAAAUAAUUACUCUUUCAGCAACAUCAAAGAGAUAUCUGAUAGGUGUAUUGAGUGAGAAAUUUUGAGAUCAAUUUUUCCCUUUUCUUUGAUAAAAGAGUUUAAAGAACAUAUUUUCUAAAUAUGUUACUUUGUUAGCAGUUUCUUUUCACGCUCUUCAUUACCCAGUUUUUUGAGAUCAAUUUCUCUCUUCUGAAUGAUUUGAAUUUCCAAGUCAACAAAAUAAAAUUAUUUUAGGUGAAUUUUAAUGUGACAUGGCAUCGGUUAGUUAAAAAGUAGCCAACCUCUCUUUCUCUAUGGCUCUCGGCGUACAUUAAGGUAACCUGCGCCAUUCAAGGAUAACCGUGGCAAAAGAAAAGGGGGCGACCUUGCAAGGAAACAUUGGUGACGGUAGGAAGCUCGGUUAGUGCUCGUGUGAUAGCUGAACCUUAUAAAAAGGAAAUGAAUAGCUGGUAGUGACACCCACUGGGCAUCCAUUUCAACCUAAUUCUCUGAAAUUUGGGACAUCUACUCAGGUGCAUAAGAAAUUGAAUCUCAACGUUGUUUGUGUUGUCUGUGCAACCUAGCCUGUGGUGGAGUGACAUAUCUGCUCCUGUUGCUCUUUCUACGCAACCUAGUCUGCAAUCAGUUGGAGUUGGACCACGUGGAAGUGGUACCAAGAUGAAUAAUAUGAUGUUGACAUCGGAGGAUGCUGAAUAGAAAGAUGAUCAAAGUGCCAAAGAUGGAUGAGAAAUCGACAAUACCGACGCGGGCAAAUCUCUUUAUUGGGAAUCGUUCUGCUGAAAAUGGUAUGUUGCUAUCAUAUGUUCCCCCAGAAAUUGUUGGUGGUAAUAUAGUGGUCACAUUAGACUAGGAAGAAUGUAUUAGUGAGACAACAAAGUGGAAGUGUGCAUUGAACAACAAAGUGGAAGUGUGCAUUGAACAACAAAGUGUGCAUUGAACAACAAAGUGGAAGUGUGCAUUGAACAACAUAAGUGUGCAUUGAUUGCAUAUGUAGUAAGGUGUCGUUUAACCAGUGUGCAUUGAACAACAAAGUGGAAGUGUGCAUUGAUUGCAUAUGUAGUAAGGUGUCGUUUGGUUAAAAAUGUAGUUAUACUGGGAUUAGUUAUGUUGGGAUAAGUUAUGAUGGAAUAAGUUAUAAUGGGAUUAGUUAUGCUGGGAUUAUUUUUUGUUGAGUGUUUGAUUUGUUGUUUUCAAAUUAAUAUGCAUGGUAUAAUUUCUAAGAAUAAAAUAUUUGAUUACCAAAAUACUCUAUCUUAUUUAACUUUUUUUUGUUUAUAUAUAUUUAUUUUCAAACUUUAAAUAUUUAUUCUUAAAAAUAAAACUUUCAUUUUAUUUUGCUUAAUUUUUUUGUGUGUGUAUUUUAAAAAUAAAACUUUCAUCUUAUUUAACUUUAAUUUUUUUGCAUGUGCCUUUCCAUGAUUAUACCGUGUGCGUUUUUAAAAAAAAGAACUUACUACAUCUUAUUUAGUUUGAAUGAAAAACUUCCAACUUAAGUUUGUUAAAGUAAAAGAAGAUUUGUUGUUUAUGUCACUUCAUUUAAACACAUAUUACUCAUAUAUUAUAGAAUAUUAAAAUUCAUUUUAAUUGAUAUACACAAUAUCAAUUUUCAAGUUAUAAAAAACUAUUUAAUUUAAAAUAUGUAAUUGAACAAUAGAGUCGAUUGUGAAACGAUAAUGUGUAUUAAAACUAGGCAAUGCCUUUGUAGUUGUUAAAAUAUUUUAUAGAUUACUAGUGAAGGGUAAUUAUUAUUAUAAAAUAUACUUACUUUAGUUAAUCUUUUCAUUGUGUAGUAAGAACUUUUUGUGUUAUCAAUUCACAAAAAUAACACUUGGAAGGAAAAAGUUGAUGUUAAAUUUCAUUUUUCUAUGCUUAAAAAAUUAUAGUACCUACAUUUUGUUGGAUAUAUAAAAAAUUAUAGUACCUAGUUUUGAUCCUUAUUAUGUAUGAAUCUAACAUAUUUUAUUUUUUAAUUUGUUAAUUUUGCAUUUUGAUCUUUUAUAUAAGAAAAUAACGUAUACGUUUAUAAAAUUCACAAGUAAUGGAAUGAAAAAAAAUGCAAAGUUUAAUUAAUAAGAGGCUAAUUUUUCUUAGUCAUAUAUUUCCUUCGUUCCAAAAUAAAAUAUUUUAAUAUUUUUAAUUUGUCAUAAAUAACACGUUUUAGAAAAUCAAGUAGAUAUCAAUAAUCUUUUUUCAAUUUCAAAAGCAAUAAUUAAAGAUGAUGAAAAAGAUUGGAGAAAUGUGUUUGUAAUGGAUUUGGGAUAUUUUUAUCAUUUUAUAAUUUAUCCCGGGAUAAAUUAAGGUGGGAUAACUUAUACCACCAAAUAUGUGGUAUAACUUAUCCCGAGACUAUUAUUAAUCCCGGGAUAAGUUAUCCCAAGUAUUGUCAAACCAAACGAUUUAUUAAAAAGUUUAUUCCGGGACUAUUAUUUUAUCCCGGGAUAACUUGUCUUAGUACCUCAUAUCAAACGGCCCCUAAGAGAUACUCGAGAACAUUUAGUUGAAAGGCCACAUUGAAAAUUUAUUUUGAGAAAUAGACAUCUUUUUUUGUUUGACCUAAUUUUUUAGGUUUUUGUGGGAUAUGGGUUAAAGUGUAAAAAAAAAAAUCUUUUGGCACCUCUUAUGUAUUUGUUGAAUCUUUUGGAACCUCUUAUGUAUUUAUUAAAUACUUUCUCCGUUUAAAAAAGAAUGACCUACUUUGAUUUGACACAAAGUUUAAGAAAAUAGAGAAGACUUUUGAAUCUUGUGGCCUUAAUUUAAAGUUGUGUCAAAUGUACCAAAAUGCCCUUUAAUCUUGUAGUCCUAAACAUACUAUGUAGAAAAUUGAAAUUAAAGUAUUGCAAAAAAAAAGGGCCAUUCUUUUUUGAAACGGACUAAAAAAAAAGUAGGUCAUUCUCUUUUAAACAGAGGGAAUACAUUUUUAACCCCACUCUAUCCCACUCUAUCAUUAAAUACAAAAAAAAAUUCUCUCUCAUCUUCUCUCGUUACUCUCUCCCACUUCAUCUCCCCUUUCCACCAUUUUUCAAUUUCGAGCUUGUAUAAAUCAUCUCUAACUUCGAUCUUCAACUUCAGAUAAGUUAUAUUCAUCUUUUGAUUAAUUUGUGCCCUAUAUUAAUGAGUUUUUUUAUUUUAUUUUUUUCGAAUUCGUUGUGGCGGUUGAACUCGUUGGAGUUAAAAAAUUUUGAUUUUUUUUUUAAUAUGGGGCUUGAUUUUACUGAAAUUGGUUGUUUUUAGUUGAUAUUUACUUGAUUGUUGAUGGAUGAUUGGUGUAUAUCGAUUAUCCUUGGCGAUUGCAUGUUGAAAUUUCAUCACUAAUUUUGUCGAAAUGUGGCAAGAUAUGUGAUUUUUGUUCAAACUUUUCUCCAAUAUAAUGGUGUUGUAGAAGCACGUUCAUGUUUGGGAUUCCUAUUGGUUUGAAUCAUAUUCGUAUUUGAUAUUUGGACCCGAAAAAUUAUUUUAAAAAAAAAAAAAUGGGGUUUGAUUUUACUUAAAAUUUGUGUUUUUAAGUUGGUAUUUGGUUUGUCGUGCAUUAUUUUUGUUGGAUUUUAAUUUCCCUCGAUGAUUGCGUUGAGAUUUUUUUGCCAAUUUUUCUCUAUUUUCGUGCUAAAAAUUCUAGUUCAUUUCUAUUUUUGUUCAAUAGAAUGGUGAUUUAGAUGAAUGUUCUUAUGGGUGAUGGAGUUGUUUUGGAAGAAACUUCUUCUACAAAUAGGUUUUUUUGGUGUUGCAACUGUUGUCAUGUUAAUAGACUGUUAGGUCGAUUAGGUAUUGUAUUUGUUGAUAGAGUUGAGAAAUGUUAUUUUUUGUCCGUAGAUCAUAACAAAUGGCUAGAGGUAACAACCACAAGGCUGUAGAAGUUGAUAGAUCUGAGAAAAAAAAGAGUAGUCGAUGAAUCAGAGAAUAGAAAUUACAGCGAGGAAGCUAUUGAAGCUUCGGUUCGAGAUGAGCCGGAGGAAAUAAAAAUUGAGGCUAGGAUAGAUGAGGAAGCAUUGAUCUUGCCCACUGUGCAAGGUUUAUUUCGACUGAGAGAUACGACCUCGCUAUAGUCCUGGAUGAUGUCGGAUCAUUUCCGGCUAAGAUAUCCGUUAUGUCCCAUUUAAAAAUGUUUUAUGAAUUCAAACAAGUCAUGGUUGAUCAACGUCUGAAGUCUAGGUUUAAGAAUUCCUGGUUUGGUGGUUUACGGGACUUUCCAGAACAUAGAAAGUUCAACGGACAUCUUGUCCACUAUACACUUCUUCGCCGAGUUAAACAGGACAACAAACUGCAUGAAAUAUGGUUCGGCAUCUAUGACAGUCCUGAAGGAGUUUCCGCUAAUCACGACUUUAAAUUGUGGGCGUUAUCCCCAUGAUUCAAAAUAUGUCAAAGCGAUGGAAAAGGGUGAAGCUUUUUUGAAAAAGAUUGCGAAAAAAAGAGGAGUGUAAAUGCAAAAAAAUUGUUGAAGCUUAUUAGAGGUGAGAGGCUGGACAAGGAGGACAAGUUCAAAUGCUACUUGGUUUGGUUCGUGCACUGCAUAUUGUUUGCACACGACUUGUCAAAAAUCGUGGACAUAGACACCAUCAAGAUGGUGGAUAACUUGGGCUUCUUUGAGAGAUACCCUUGGGGUAAGAAGUCAUUUACCUUGACUCUAGACUAUCUAAAGAGCGGACAGACUUCAGCAGGCAGAAGAAGACAUUUGUGACAAAGGGAAUUUCAUCAUACGCGCUCUACAGAUUUCCCUGGGCAUUUAUGGUAUUUGAUUAUAAACCAUUGAAGUAUUUUAUUAUAUACUGUAAUUCAUCUAUGGUAUGUAUACUAUACUGACUCUCAGUUAUAUGUUUUUGUUUUUACUUUUGAUCACAAAUUUGGAUAUACGAAGCCUUUCCUGCGUUUGGCAGGGAAAAUGGUAAAUCAACUGAAGACUCACUGCCCAUUCCCCG
rnacentral:lncRNA from 1 species